ncrna:unclassified sequences type-P1 twister ribozyme
UAGGUAACUCCGCCUAUGUCAUUGUAGGUAUAACUAAAUGACAUAGCCGGUCCCAAGCCCGGAAAAAGGAGGAGGGGAUA